CACAUGGACACAGCACUACUGCAUCCUGAAGGACGGCUGCCUCUACUUGUAUAGCGGCAUACGUGCCACGCACGCGCAUGGUGGGAUCUACCUACAGGGCUACAUGGUCAGGGAGCAGCCAUAUGGAUCCAAGAAAUCCACCAUUGAACUGAAACCGCCAUCUGAUGAGUUUAAAACCUUCUACAUCUGUGCUGAAAAUCCCAGCGAAAACAAACGAUGGAUCGUGGCGAUCAGAGCGUCGAUAAAGAAGUGGCUGCCUUUACAGCAGGCCCUUCGGGGUUUCAGGACUCGACCACCAGAGGAGACAAGAAUGUGAGAGACAACAUGCUGCGUCCUCUCUGAUGACUCUCUGUGUUGCCCUCUGCUGUGUUAAACA